CACGUAGGGGGCGAGCGUUGUCCGGAUUUAUUGGGCGUAAAGAGCUCGUAGGCGGUUUCGUAAGUCGGAUGUGAAAACUCCAGGCUCAACUUGGAGACGCCAUUCGAUACUGCGAUGACUUGAGUCCGGUAGGGGAGUGUGGAAUUCCUGGUGUAGCGGUGAAAUGCGCAGAUAUCAGGAAGAACACCAAUGGCGAAAGCAGCUUUCUGGGACGGUACUGACGCUGAGACGCGAAAGCGUGGGGAGCGAACAGG
rnacentral:rRNA from 1 species